rnacentral:rRNA from 1 species
UACGAAGGGGGCUAGCGUUGCUCGGAAUCACUGGGCGUAAAGCGCACGUAGGCGGCUUUUUAAGUCAGGGGUGAAAUCCUGGAGCUCAACUCCAGAACUGCCUUUGAUACUGAGAAGCUUGAGUCCGGGAGAGGUGAGUGGAACUGCGAGUGUAGAGGUGAAAUUCGUAGAUAUUCGCAAGAACACCAGUGGCGAAGGCGGCUCACUGGCCCGGUACUGACGCUGAGGCACGAAGGUCAGGGGAGCAAACGGG